rnacentral:snRNA from 1 species
GUGCUCGCUUCGGCAGCACAUAUACUAAAAACUGGAACAAUACAGAGAAGAUUAACAUGGCCCCUGCGCAAGGAUGACACACAAAUUUGUGAAGCGUUCCAUAUUUAA